UACGUAGGGGGCAAGCGUUGUCCGGAAUCAUUGGGCGUAAAGAGCGUGUAGGCGGCUUGGUAAGUCCGCUGUGAAAGUCCAGGGCUCAACCCUGGAAUGCCGGUGGAAACUGCCAAGCUCGAGUCCGGAAGAGGCGAGUGGAAUUCCUGGUGUAGCGGUGAAAUGCGCAGAUAUCAGGAGGAACACCGAUGGCGAAGGCAGAUCUCUGGGCCGUAACUGACGCUGAGGAGCGAAAGCAUGGGGAGCGAACAGG
rnacentral:rRNA from 1 species